CAAAUAUCAAAUAUAUAUGUAUAUUACAGUUACUAACUUGAGAGUGUAUAUAGAGACUGUACAUAGACAAAAUGUUUUAUUGCUUUUAAUUAGAAAGUAUAUGCUGUGUUUUCUUUUUUUGUGUUUAAUAUUUAAACAGUUUUUAAAAACUUUUACAAACGACAGGAAUUUGAACAAGAAUGUCAUGGUAUGAAAUACUUAAAGGAACACUACAGUCACCAGAAAAACUACAGCUUUUUCUAUUUGUUCUGGUGAGUAUAAUCAUCCCCUUCAGGCUUUUUGCUGUAAACACUGUUUUUUCAUAGAAAGUGCAGUGUUUACAUUACAGCCACUGAUCACUCCUAACAUGACUACCAGAGGUGCUUCCUGGGGCAGUGCUGCACAGUGCGCCAUGCAGUGUCUUCCCCCUCUGCAUGGAGACACUGAACAUUCCUCAUAGAGAUGCAUUGAUUCAAAUCAUCUCUAUGAGGAGAUGCUGAUUGGCCAGGGCUCUGUUUGAUUUGUGCUGGCUCUGGCCUUGAUCUGCCUCCUUGAAAGUCUCUUGAUUGGCUUUGAUCAACACUUCUGAUGAUGUCAGUCAAGCAGGCAGAUCAGGGGCAGGGCCAGAAACAGCAGAGUUGAAUAAAAGUAAGGCUUUACUAUAUGUAAGAGGGUGGGAGGGGGGAGCUAGAUGAUAUGUUAAACAUUAUAGGGUCAUGAAUACAUGACCCUAUAGUGUUCCUUUAACCUUUUGUCAUAAAGAGGUUGACAUCAAGUGAUCUUUUACUUGGAUCUAGACUGGCAAAUGGCCAAAUAUGGCCAAACGUUAUUCAAUUAAGUAAUUUAAGUUAAAUUAAAAUUUAACUCAUUUUAGUUUUUGGUAUUUGUUAGAUCACCAUUAACUUUUAACUUUGGUUCACCAAAUCUCAACUGUACAUCUAUUCAGUAAAAUGCAGCAACUAUAACACUGGCACAUUAAAGGACCACUAUAGGCACCCAGACCACUUCAGCUUAAUGACGUGGUCUGGGUGCCAGGUCCAGCUAGGAUUAACCCUUUUUUCUGUAAACAUAGCAGUUUCAGAGAAACUGCUAUGUUUACCUAUGAUUUAAUCCAGCCUCUAGUGGCUGUCUCAUUGACAGCUGCUAGAGGGCUUCCGCACUUCUCACUGUGACGCCAGCGUCCAUAGGAAAGCAUUGAUAGAGAGCUCCCCACCCGGCGCUGGAGAAAGAGGUAAGUUUAACUCCUUCCACCCCCUAGAGCCUGGCGGGAGGGGGACCCUCAGGGUGAGGGCACCCUCAGGGCACUAUAGUGCCAGGAAAACAAGUAUGUUUUUUUCCUGGCACUAUAGUGGUCCUUUAAGGCUAAAAUAGCUGUACUGAAAAAAAUCUACAGCUUCCCUAUAUUCACAGCUUGACGAUUAUAGUCUGAAUUUUACAAGAUUGUUUUCAAAUCACUGUUUAAUAGUGAAUUGAAAACCUGAAUAGUGAAUGAAGGUGAAAUGAAUCGUGCACUUAUGCUGGACUCCCCCUUUCUAUUGGCUGUUCCUCUGACACAGUAGUGUCAGUUUUCCAAGUAUAGGUAUGUUGGAGUGGGGAUGUCUAAUAUAGUCCAGAAACCUACAUAGACUGUAUAGCUUGCAGCUGUUUAGAUCAGAGACAGAUGGAACGGUGCGACUGAAAACAAAUAUAAGAAAAGCUUAAACCCUUUACAUAACAACCAGAAAAUGAAAGCCAACAUUUGCUAACUUUAAUGUGAAUGGAAUAACUUGCUGAUAGAGCUCUUUUGUCUUGUGUGUACAAGGUGAUCCUGGUUAUUGUUGGUAUUUUUGAAAUGCACCUAGGAUUAAAAAACAGGUUAUUGCGUAUGAACAGAAAAACGCCAUGCUGCUCCAAUCCGCAUCACCUCAUAGAGAUGCAUUGAUUCACUGCAUCUCUAUGGGGAAACAUGGAGAAGCUGAAUGGCAGUGUUGCACGUUGUGCAGCACUGAUCCAGGAAGCACCUCUAGUGGCCACUAGAGGUGUUACUAGGAUGUAAUGUAAACAAUGCCUUUUCAUUAAUAAGCCUGCAGGGACUGACUAUACUCACCAGAACAACUAUGGUGACUAUAGUGUCCCUUUAUUUAGACUGCUCCCAACAUAACAACCGCUGAUGAUCUCAAUCGAUCUGAUGCUUCAUUAUAGCAUGGAGAUGCUGAACAUUGGUUCUGGAACCAUUAUAGGACAGCACCAGGAAGACCCUCUAGUUGUAAGUGACAGCCGUUAGAGGUUGCAUUAGUAAGCAAUGUUAAUACUUUUCACGGAAUGAUUACCGUUUGCAUUGCUGGGACUACAGGAACAGUCUCUUUGCACCAGAAGCAUUACAUUAAGCUGUAGUGGUUGUAGUGCUUAGAGCAGGCUUUCCCAAACUCUGGUCCUCCAGAUGUUGCUGAUUCUAUGAAUGAAAUAGGCUGAGGAUAAUGGGUAAUCUAGUUCAGCAACAUCUGGAGGGCCGGAGUUUGGGGAAGCCUGGCUUAGAGUGUGAAAGCAUCAUGGAAGCUGUAGUUUUAAAAUAUCUGCAGAUCUACCUCUUGGGUAGAGAAUAGGUAUCCUGCUUUUAAGCUAUUAUGAGACUUUCGGCAACAGUAAUUUACAUUGCUUAACUUAGUUUAUAUUUCUAUAUUUGAUUCUUCACUGAUUCAUUAUUGAUAAUACAUCUGUUACCAAAAUAUCUUAUGCCCUUCCUCUGUUAGUAUUUAAACAGCUACAUCAUAUUUUGCUUAGGAAAGAGUAAUUUAGCAUUUGAAAUUGUGGAAGUAUUUUAUACAGUGGUUAAUUGUAUCCUCAAAAGAAGAAAAUCACUUUAUGAAUUACACUGCAUAUUGCUGUUUUAGUGGAACAGUACAAGUUGCAGUAAUGCCAUCAUAGGAAUGCAUUAUAGAGAUAAAAAUAUAUAUAUAUUAUUCAUUAAAUGUAAAAAAAAAAAUAAGUUUUUAAGAGACACCACUGAAUUAUCUGUGCAAACCAUUCUAUUUUGUAGGAACCUGGAAGUGAUUGAGAUUCUCAGCGGAAGUUCAAUUCAGGUUCCUUAAACUCAUGCUUGUUGCACUAGUCAAUAUUCUAUCCACUGUGCAGUUUCAUUCAUGCUUUUUCAUGAAUGAAACCUUUGAACGCUAUGUCUGCUAUAUAUAUACAGGCUCUCACAGAAAGCUCAGAAAACCUGAACUACUUGUAUGACAUUUUCGCUCACGCACUCCCUCUAUAAGAAAGAAAAUCACCUAUCACCAAAUUUAUUAGACUACUUAUGUCAUAUUUACUGCAAUAGAUUAAUUUCCUACACACAGGUUAAACGAGUAAUAUGUCCAGGUAGUAUGCUUAUGCUGGAACCCCUUUUCUCCCACGGAAAGUACAUGAUCGUCUGCAGAAUGUGGAGCCUAGUAGCCUAUUCUACUUUAAAGGUACCUUCCAAGCGCCAUAACUUUAUCUCAAUGACAUAGCCAGAAACCAGGGGACAGAGCAGACAGGAGACGUCUUCACAUUUUAGGUGUUAAAGUAUUGGUAAAUGGAUUAAUUCCUUAAAGGAACACUCCACACUAAAUGAAAAAAUAAAUAACUAUUGAGUAGUUAUAACGCCAAUGAAAACAUGCAUGCUUUUUAACAUUGGGGGUACAACAAAAAGUAGCUUGCAAAAGUCGCAGUUCUUAUGCUUGCAGCCUUUGCAGCUGCUUCUCAGCCAAGAGUGCGCGCAGCUUGACCAAGACCACCUAGCAUCAUAACAGUAGUUUAGAACCUCCUGCUUUGGAACUGCUGUCCUGAACUAAGCCCUGCAACCACAACCACUACAGGAUGCUGUAGUGGUUGUGGUGCUUGGAGUGUUACUUUAAUGUGCAAAUAAUGAAAAGGGCGAAAUAAGUGUUGAUUGAGGCACACCGAUGCUGGUGUUAAAUUCAGGCAUAAUAAAAUUUAUAUAUAAACAAUUAUAUAUUUUAAUAUAUAUAUAAAUUAUAAAUAACCUGAAAGCGUUAGGAUGGAAAAGACUUAAGUUUAAAAAAAAAAAAAAAAAAAUAAUCUUGUAAUAUUUUGUAUUCCGAUCUUCCAUUUACUGCACUAUUUGUAUGGACUGUCUUGUACAUUUAAUUGCACUGUGAUAUUUUAUUUAGUGUAUUUUUAUUCAUUGCAGUACAUCGGAUUAUAUACAGAUAGUAACUGCAUAUAAAAUGUAUUCCUGAAAAUCUGACAGCUAUUUUGCUUUCAUAAAGCAGAAUUUAAACCAUCUAUUUUGUUUUUGAAGAGUUACUUUAAAAUAAAAUCCUACUUGCU